rnacentral:rRNA from 1 species
AACACAUGCAAGUCGAACGCAGUAGCAAUACUGAGUGGCAAACGGGUGAGUAUAAUGUGGGAAUCUGCCUUUUGGUUCGGAAUAACACGAGGAAACUUGUGCUAAUACCGGAUAAGCCCUUACGGGGAAAGUUUUAAUGCCAAAAGAUGAGCCCGCACUUGAUUAGCUAGUUGGUAAGGUAAUGGCUUACCAAGGCAACGAUCAAUAGCUGUUCUUAGAGGAAGACCAGCCACAUUGGGACUGAGACACGGCCCAAACUCCUACGGGAGGCAGCAGUGGGGAAUCUUGCACAAUGGGGGAAACCCUGAUGCAGCGAUGCCGCGUGAGUGAAGAAGGCCCUUGGGUUGUAAAACUCUUUCGUCGGGGAAGAAAAUGACUGUACCCGAAUAAGAAGGUCCGGCUAACUUCGUGCCAGCAGCCGCGGUAAUACGAAGGGACCUAGCGUAGUUCGGAAUUACUGGGCUUAAAGAGUUCGUAGGUGGUUAAAAAAGUUGAUGGUGAAAUCCCAAGGCUCAACCUUGGAACUGCCAUCAAAACUUUUUAGCUAGAGUGUGAUAGAGGAAAGUGGAAUUUCUAGUGUAGAGGUGAAAUUCGUAGAUAUUAGAAAGAACAUCAAAAGCGAAGGCAACUUUCUGGAUCAUUACUGACACUGAGGAACGAAAGCAUGGGUAGCGAAGAGGAUUAGAUACCCUCGUAGUCCAUGCCGUAAACGAUGUGUGCUAGACGUUGGAAACUUAGUUUUCAGUGUCGCAGCGAAAGCAUUAAGCACACCGCCUGGGGAGUACGACCGCAAGGUUA